rnacentral:miRNA from 1 species
AUUCGAACCACCUGGGUUCCUCGUUAAAAUGCAGAUUCUGAUUCAGGGUCUGGGGGGAACCUCAGAUUUUGCAUUUCUAACUAGCUCCUGGAUGCUGUACCU